CCAGACUCCUACGGGAGGCAGCAGUGGGGAAUAUUGCACAAUGGGGGAAACCCUGAUGCAGCGACGCCGCGUGAGUGAAGAAGUAAUUCGUUAUGUAAAGCUCUAUCAGCAGGGAAGAAAAUGACGGUACCUGAGUAAGAAGCCCCGGCUAACUACGUGCCAGCAGCCGCGGUAAUACGUAGGGGGCAAGCGUUAUCCGGAUUUACUGGGUGUAAAGGGAGCGUAGACGGCAGUGCAAGUCUGGAGUGAAAGCCCGGGGCCCAACCCCGGGACUGCUCUGGGAACUGUGCGGCUGGAGUGCGGGAGGGGCAGGCGGAAUUCCUAGUGUAGCGGUGAAAUGCGUAGAUAUUAGGAGGAACACCAGUGGCGAAGGCGGUCUGCUGGACAGCAACUGACGCUGAGGCGCGAAAGCGUGGGGAGCGAACAGGAUUAGAUACCCCCGUAGA
rnacentral:rRNA from 1 species